UACGAAGGGGGCUAGCGUUGCUCGGAAUUACUGGGCGUAAAGCGUGCGCAGGCGGUGAUGUAAGACAGAUGUGAAAUCCCCGGGCUCAACCUGGGAACUGCAUUUGUGACUGCAUCGCUGGAGUGCGGCAGAGGGGGAUGGAAUUCCGCGUGUAGCAGUGAAAUGCGUAGAUAUGCGGAGGAACACCGAUGGCGAAGGCAAUCCCCUGGGCCUGCACUGACGCUCAUGCACGAAAGCGUGGGGAGCAAACAGG
rnacentral:rRNA from 1 species